rnacentral:rRNA from 1 species
CCUACGGGUGGCAGCCGUGGGGAAUAUUGCACAAUGGGGGAAACCCUGAUGCAGCGACGCCGCGUGAGUGAAGAAGUAUUUCGGUAUGUACACCCCUAUCAUCAGGGAAGCAAAUGACGGUCACUGACUAAGAAGCCCCGGCUAACUACGUGCCAGCAGCCGCGGUAAUACGUAGGGGGCAAGCGUUAUCCGGAUUUACUGGGUGUAAAGGGAGCGGCGACGGCAGUGCAAGUCCGGAGUGAAAGGCGGGGGCUCAACCCCCGGACUGCUCUUGAAACUUUACGGCUGGAGUGCAGGAGAGGUAGGUGGAAUUCGUAGUGUAGCGGUGAAAUGCGGAGAUAUUAGGAGGAACACUAGUGGCGAAGGCGGCUUACUGGACUGUAACUGACGUUGAGGCUCGAAAGCGUGGGGAGCAAACAGGAUUAGAUACCCUAGUAGUC